GACGUAGGUGGCGAACGUUAUCCGGAAUUAUUGGGCGUAAAGGGUGCGUAGAUGGCCUGAUAAGUUAGCAGUGGGAAAUCGAGGCUCAACCUCGUGGAAGCCGGUAAUACUGUCAGGCUCGAGUGCAGGAGAGGUUAACGGAACUCCAUGUGGAGCGGUAAAAUGUGUAGAUAUAUGGAAGAACACCAAUAACGGCGAAGGCAGUUAACUAUUCUGUUACUGACAUUGAGGCACGAAAGCGUGGGGAGCAAAACGG
rnacentral:rRNA from 1 species